ACUCAAAUGAAUUGACGGGGACCCGCACAACCGGUGGAGCGUGUGGUUCAAUUCGAUACAAAGCGAAAGACCUUACCAAGGUUUGACAUGCUACCGUACAGCUUUCUAGAAACAGAGAGCAAUCCGCAAGGAUGGUAGCAAAGCUGCUGCAUGGCUGUCGUCAGCUCGUGCCGUGGGGUGUUCCCUUAAGUGGGAGAACGAGCGCAACCCGUGUCCAAUGUUAUAUGUUUCAUUGGAGACCGCCCACUCCUUGAGAGUAGAACAAGUGUUCUAUUUUGAAGGAGUGGGAGGAAGGAACGGACGACGUCAAGUCAGCACGGCGCUUAUGCCUUGGGAUACACACACCCUACAAUGGCGAACAACAAUGGGACGCGAACCAGCAAUGGCAAGCAAAUCCCCUAUAAAUUUCGCCUCAGUUCAGAUUGGGGGCUGCAACCCGCCCCCAUGAAGUCGGAAUCGGUAGUAAUCGCAGAUCAGCAGGCUGCGGUGAAUACGUUCUCGGGUCUUGUACACACCGCCCGU
rnacentral:rRNA from 1 species